rnacentral:rRNA from 1 species
UAUUGGUCAAUGGGCGCUAGCCUGAACCAGCCAAGUAGCGUGAAGGAUGACUGCCCUAUGGGUUGUAAACUUCUUUUAUAUGGGAAUAAAGUGCAGUAUGUAUAUGGCUUUGCAUGUACCUUAUGAUUAUGGAUCGGCUAACUCCGUGCCAGCAGCCGCGGUAAUACGGAGGAUCCGAGCGUUAUCCGGAUUUAUUGGGUUUAAAGGGAGCGUAGGUGGAUUGUUAAGUCAGUUGUGAAAGUUUGCGGCUCAACCGUAAAAUUGCAGUUGAAACUGGCAGUCUUGAGUACAGCAGAGGUGGGCGGAAUUCGUGGUGUAGCGGUGAAAUGCUUAGAUAUCACGAAGAACUCCGAUUGCGAAGGCAGCCUGCUGGACUGUAACUGACGCUGAUGCUCGAAAGUGUGGGUAUCAAACAGG